AUACGAGUUCUCGUAAGAUCACCGAAAUUAAGCAACGUCCAGCCUGAUUAGUACUUAGAUGGGUAACCGUUUGGAAUUACCACGUGUUACAAG